AUUGAACGCUGGCGGCAUGCCUAACACAUGCAAGUCGAGCGAGCGGCUGACGGGUGAGUAAUUUCUGGGUAACUGCCUGAUGGAGGGCGAUCACUACUUGGAACUGUCGCUAAUACCGCCUACCAUCGGAUGUGCCCAUAUGGGAUUAGCUAGUCGGUGGGGUAACGGCCCACCUAGGCGAUGAUCCCUAGCUGGUCUGAGAGGAUGACCAGUAACACGGGAACUGAGAUACGGCCCAGACUCCGACGUGAGGCAGCAGUGGGGAAUAUUGCGGAAUGGGCGCAAGGCUAAUGCAGCCAUGCCGCGUGUAUGAGGAAGACCUUCGGGUUGUAGAGGACUUUCAGCGUGGAGGCGGUACCCGCAGAAGAAGCACCGGCUAACUCCGUGCCAGCAGCCGCGGUAAUUC
rnacentral:rRNA from 1 species